CCUACGGGUGGCAGCAGUGGGGGAUAUUGCACAAUGGGGGAGACCCUGAUGCAGCGACGCCGCGUGGGCGAAGAAGUAUUUCGGUAUGGAAAGCCCUAUCAGCAAGGGAGAAGAAAUGACGAUACCUGAGUAAGAAGCACCGGCUAAAGACGUGCCAGCAGCCGCGGUAGUACGUAUGGUGCAAGCGUUAUCCGGAUUUACUGGGUGUAAAGGGAGCGCAGGCGGCACGGCAAGCCUGAUGUGAAAGCCAGCGGCCCAACCGCGGGAUUGCAGUGGAAACUACCGGGCUGGAGUACCGGGGAGGCAGGCGGAAUUCCUAGUGUAGCGGUGAAAUGCGUAGAUAUUAGGCGGAACACCAGUGGCGAAGGCGGCCUACUGGACGGUGACUGACGCUGAGGCUCGAAAGCGUGGGGAGCAAACAGGAUUAGAUACCCGUGUAGUC
rnacentral:rRNA from 1 species